rnacentral:rRNA from 1 species
UACAUGGGGUGCAAACGUUGCUCGGAAUUAUUGGGCGUAAAGCGCACGUAGGCGGUCCGUUAAGUCGGAUGUGAAAGCCCCCGGCUCAACCGGGGAAGUGCAUCCGAAACUGGCGGGCUAGAGUACGAAAGAGGGUCGCGGAAUUCCCGGUGUAGAGGUGAAAUUCGUAAAUAUCGGGAGGAACACCGGUGGCGAAGGCGGCGACCUGGGUCGAUACUGACGCUGAGGUGCGAAAGCGUGGGGAGCAAACAGG